rnacentral:tRNA from 1 species
GGGAAGGUGGCUCAGUGGUAGAGCGCUUGCCUUGCAUGCAUAAGGCCCUAGGUUCGAUUCCUCAGUACCA